GUGUCAGCCGCCGCGGUAACACGGGGGGAGCAAGCGUUGUUCGGAAUCACUGGGCGUAAAGGGCGUGUAGGCGGCCAAGUAAGUGAAAUGUGAAAUUCCUCGGCUCACCCGAGGACCUGCAUCUCAUACUGCUUGGCUUGAGUACGGGAGAGGUUGUGGGAAUUCCUGGUGUAGCGGUGAAAUGCGUAGAUAUCAGGAGGAACACCGGUGGCGAAAGCGCACAACUGGCCCGAUACUGACGCUGAGGCGCGAAAGCUAGGGGAGCAAACGGGAUUAGAUACCCCCGUAGUCC
rnacentral:rRNA from 1 species